rnacentral:rRNA from 1 species
UUAGGGUACUGCGAGACAUUACCGAGUGCGGGUCUUUAUGGCCCAACCUCCCACCCGUGACUAUUGUACCUUGUUGCUUCGGCGGGCCCGCCAGCGUUGCUGGCCGCCGGGGGGCGACUCGCCCCCGGGCCCGUGCCCGCCGGAGACCCCAACAUGAACCCUGUUCUGAAAGCUUGCAGUCUGAGUGUGAUUCUUUGCAAUCAGUUAAAACUUUCAACAAUGGAUCUCUUGGUUCCGGCAUCGAUGAAGAACGCAGCGAAAUGCGAUAACUAAUGUGAAUUGCAGAAUUCAGUGAAUCAUCGAGUCUUUGAACGCACAUUGCGCCCCCUGGUAUUCCGGGGGGCAUGCCUGUCCGAGCGUCAUUGCUGCCCUCAAGCCCGGCUUGUGUGUUGGGCCCUCGUCCCCCGGCUCCCGGGGGACGGGCCCGAAAGGCAGCGGCGGCACCGCGUCCGGUCCUCGAGCGUAUGGGGCUUCGUCUUCCGCUCCGUAGGCCCGGCCGGCGCCCGCCGACGCAUUUAUUUGCAACUUGUUUUUUUCCAGGUUGACCUCGGAUCAGGUAGGGAUACCCGCUGAACUUAAGCAUAUCAAUAAGCGGAGGAA